AUGAUCAAGCUACAAAGGGCAUAUGGUGAAUGCCUUGGCACCAGUAGCCGAUGAAGGACGCGAUAAGCUGCGAUAAGCUUCGGGUAGGCGCAAAUAGCCUGUGAUCCGGAGAUUUCCGAAUGGGGAAACCUGCAUACCUAACGGUAUGUACCGUAAAUUGAAUACAUAGAUUUACGGGGGUAUACCCGGGGAACUGAAACAUCUAAGUACCCGGAGGAAGAGAAAGAAAAAUCGAUUUUCUNNNNNNNNNNNNNNNNNNNNNNNNNNNNNNNNNAUCGAAGAGAGCUGGAACGCUCUACCACAGAAGGUAAUAGUCCUGUAGGUAAAAAAUUAUGUCUUUUAGGUCUAAUCCAGAGUACCACGAGACACGUGAAACCUUGUGGGAAGCAGGGAGGACCACCUCCCAAGGCUAAAUACUAACUGGUGACCGAUAGUGAAGCAGUACCGUGAGGGAAAGGUGAAAAGAACCCCGGGAGGGGAGUGAAAUAGAACCUGAAACCGUAUGCUUACAAACAGUGGGAGCACGUUAAUGUGUGACCGCGUGCUUUUUGUAGAACGAGCCAGCGAGUUACGGUAUGUAGCAAGGUUAAGCACUUAAGGUGCGUAGCCGAAGGGAAACCGAGUCUGAAUAGGGCGACUAGUUGCAUGCCGUAGACCCGAAACCGAGUGACCUAUCCAUGGGCAGGUUGAAGCGGAAGUAAAAUUCCGUGGAGGACCGAACCACGUUGGUGUUGAAAAACCAUGGGAUGACCUGUGGAUAGCGGAGAAAUUCCAAUCGAACUCGGAGAUAGCUGGUUCUCCUCGAAAUAGCUUUAGGGCUAGCGUCUGGUUAUUGAGUAAUGGAGGUAGAGCACUGAAUGGGCUAGGGGCUGACAACAGUUACUGAACCCUAUCAAACUCCGAAUGCCAUAUACUUUUAUCCAGGCAGUCAGACUGCGAGUGAUAAGAUCCGUAGUCGAGAGGGAAACAACCCAGACCAUCAGCUAAGGUCCCAAAGUGUAAGUUAAGUGGAAAAGGAUGUGGGAUUUCUAAGACAACUAGGAUGUUGGCUUAGAAGCAGCCACUCAUUUAAAGAGUGCGUAAUAGCUCACUAGUCAAGAGAUCCUGCGCCGAAGAUGUCCGGGGCUCAAACUUACCACCGAAGCUAUGGAUUCAAUAGAAUGGUAGAGGAGCUUCCUGUAUGGGUAGAAGUCGUAUCGUAAGAAGCGGUGGACUGUACAGGAGUGAGUAUGCUGGCAUGAGUAGCGAGAAAUAAGUGAGAAUCUUAUUGGUCGAAAACCUAAGGUUUCCUGAGGAAGGUUCGUCCGCUCAGGGUUAGUCGGGACCUAAGCCCAGGCCGAAAGGCGUAGGUGAUGGACAAUCGGUUGAUAUUCCGAUACCGCCAACUUUCGUUUGACAAAUGGGGUGACACAGAAGGAUAAGGUAUGCACACUAUUGGAUGUGUGUCUAAGCACUUAGGCGUGCUUGAUUGGCAAAUCCGUCAAGCUAAGCUGAGGUGUUAUGGGGAGCCUAUUUUGGCGAAGUGCCUGAUUCCACACUGUCAAGAAAAGCCUCUAUGGAGAAUGUUGGUGCCCGUACCGCAAACCGACACAGGUAGGUGAGGAGAGAAUCCUAAGACCAUCGGAAGAAUUGCUGUUAAGGAACUAGGCAAAUUGACCCCGUAACUUCGGGAGAAGGGGUGCCAUGGAAACAUGGCCGCAGUGAAUAGGCCCAAGCAACUGUUUAGCAAAAACACAGGUCUCUGCUAAAGCGAAAGCUGAUGUAUAGGGGCUGACGCCUGCCCGGUGCUGGAAGGUUAAANNNNNNNGUUAGCGUAAGCGAAGCGGUGAACUUAAGCCCCAGUGAACGGCGGCCGUAACUAUAACGGUCCUAAGGUAGCGAAAUUCCUUGUCGGGUAAGUUCCGACCCGCACGAAUGGCGUAAUGACUUGGGCACUGUCUCAACAGCAAAUCCGGCGAAAUUGUAGUGCAAGUGAAGAUGCUUGCUACCCGCGAUAGGACGGAAAGACCCCGUAGAGCUUUACUGUAGCUUAACAUUGAAUUUCGGUAUUGUCUGUACAGGAUAGGUGGGAGACUUAGAAGCAGGAGCGUCAGUUUCUGUGGAGUCAUCCUUGGGAUACCACCCUGAUAGUACUGAAAUUCUAACCGGGGACCAUGAAUCUGGUCACGGGACAUUGUUAGGUGGGCAGUUUGACUGGGGCGGUCGCCUCCUAAAAAGUAACGGAGGCGCCCAAAGGUUCCCUCAGCGCGGUCGGAAAUCGCGCGUAGAGUGUAAAGGCAUAAGGGAGCCUGACUGCGACACAUACAGGUGGAGCAGGGACGAAAGUCGGGCUUAGUGAUCCGGUGGUUCCUCGUGGGAGGGCCAUCGCUCAACGGAUAAAAGCUACCUCGGGGAUAACAGGCUGAUCUCCCCCAAGAGUCCACAUCGACGGGGAGGUUUGGCACCUCGAUGUCGGCUCGUCGCAUCCUGGGGCUGGAGUAGGUCCCAAGGGUUGGGCUGUUCGCCCAUUAAAGCGGCACGCGAGCUGGGUUCAGAACGUCGUGAGACAGUUCGGUCCCUAUCCGUCGCGGGCGUAGGAAAUUUGAAGGGAGCUGUCCUUAGUACGAGAGGACCGGGAUGGACUGACCUCUGGUGCACCAGUUGUCACGCCAGUGGCACAGCUGGGUAGCUAAGUCGGGAAGGGAUAAACGCUGAAAGCAUCUAAGCGUGAAGCCCACCCUAAGAUGAGAUUUCCCAUGACGUAAGUCAAUAAGAUCCCUUGAAGAACACAAGGUUGAUAGGUCAGAGGUGUAAGUGCAGCAAUGUAUUUAGCUGACUGAUACUAAUAGAUCGAAGGCUUGAUCAAAUU
rnacentral:rRNA from 1 species